rnacentral:rRNA from 1 species
UACGAGGGGUGCAAGCGUUGCUCGGAAUUAUUGGGCGUAAAGGGUAGGUAGGUGGUCUUAUUUGUCUGGGGUGAAAUCCUUGAGCUUAACUCAAGAAGUGCCCCAGAAACGGUAAGACUAGAGUCCUGGAGAGGGUCGUGGAAUUCCCGGUGUAGCGGUGAAAUGCGUAGAGAUCGGGAGGAACACCAGAGGCGAAGGCGGCGACCUGGACAGGCACUGACACUCAACUACGAAAGCGUGGGGAGCAAACAGG